AGCAGCAGCAGCGCGACCACGAGCUUGGAUUUGGGAAAGAUCGUGCCGACGACCGGCUUCCUCCACUGCCGCGCCGCCGUCCUCAGCGCCCCUGUUCUCUGGGGGAGGACCGCGAGCGGGCGGUGCGGCCUCACCGUCUCGGUCUCGUCCCCCAAUGGUGCAGCUGGGCUCUCCGCAUUGAGUGACUCGGAGAAGAAAUGCAGGAGCUCAUGGACAGCAUCCGUGUCAUCAGCCUCAAAGUACCCGUGGGCUUUCCUUUCCUUUAACAUUAAUUUUUCCAAAUUUAUUUUCUUUUAGCUCAUAAGAUAAAUUAUGUCAGAAAUAGAAUUUUCUUAUGUGGAAUUGAGUACAUACAAAUAAAGUUAUAUAGAGUAGCUAAUACAUGGCCGACCACUGCUACUGAAUUCAGUGAUCUCCACACAGUUGUCUGAGGACGUUUGUGCUAUGGUUGAUUGAGAUUCACUUGAUUGAGUAUGCACGUCAAUAUUCAAGUUGGGUUGUUCA